AAAUUGAAGAGUUUGAUCAUGGCUCAGAUUGAACGCUGGCGGCAGGCCUAACACAUGCAAGUCGAACGGUAACAGGAAACAGCUUGCUGUUUCGCUGACGAGUGGCGGACGGGUGAGUAAUGUCUGGGAAACUGCCUGAUGGAGGGGGAUAACUACUGGAAACGGUAGCUAAUACCGCAUAACGUCGCAAGACCAAAGAGGGGGGCCUUCGGGCCUCUUGCCAUC
rnacentral:rRNA from 1 species